GUGCCUUAAACUAAUGAGUAAGGAAAAUAACGUGCCUUGGUAAUGCUUGGCACCACCAAGCUCUCUUGGUAUCAAUUUUUGGAAGGGCACAGGUCGUCCUCGUGUGGUCCGCCUACUUUAGCGGACUGCUGAGUUGUUGUGAUCUGCCCU